UCCUGGCUCAGGAUGAACGCUGGCGGCGUGCCUAAUACAUGCAAGUCGAGCGAGAAUCUGAUGAAUGGAGAUUCGUCAAAAUGAUUCAGAGGAAAGCGGCGGACGGGUGAGUAACGCGUAGGCAACCUGCCCUUAGCAGAGGGAUAGCCAUUGGAAACGAUGAUUAAAACCUCAUAAUGCUUUUGAGUCACAUGUCUUGAAAAGCCAAAGAUUUAUCGGCUAAGGAUGGGCCUGCGUCUGAUUAACUAGUUGGUGGGGUAACGGCUCACCAAGGUGACGAUCAGUAGCCGACCUGAGAGGGUGAUCGGCCACAUUGGAACUGAGACACGGUCCAAACUUCUACGGAAGGCAGCAGUAAGGAAUCUUGCACAAUGGGGGAAACCCUGAUGCAGCAACGCCGCGUGAACGAUGAAGGCCUUCGGGUUGUAAAGUUCUGAUCUUAGGGAAGAAGAAGUGACGGUACCUAAGGAGAAAGCCCCGGCUAACUACGUGCC
rnacentral:rRNA from 1 species